AUAGGCUUAUAAUAUUCAGACCCUGAUUGGAUUAAAGAGCUCAUCAGCUAAACGAAGUUUCCCAACGCUGGAAUUUGAGAGAUUAGGGUUUUUUCUUGCGCCGUUGAAUUGAUCCGUGAAAAUGAUUUACGACGUGAAUUCCCCACUUUUCCGUUCGUUCCUCAGCCAGAAGGGCGGCGCCUCCGACAAGAGGAAAACUGAAGAGCAGAAGCCGAAGGAACAUAGGCCAAAGGCAAAUGAGAACAAACCUGUUAUGAACGAGUAAGCGUGCAUUAUGCAAGCACUAGUUUGGAUGGAGUUUCCAAGUGUUUAGAUGUCCACUUUAUAAGUGCAACUCUCUAAACUUGAAUAUCGAGUUUGUUUCUCUAGACCAUAUGUAACAAGAUAUUGGUUUUUAUUUAGUGAAGCUUUUUUUUCCUGAUAA